rnacentral:rRNA from 1 species
CAGCAGCCGCGGUAAUACGUAGGGUGCGAGCGUUAAUCGGAAUUACUGGGCGUAAAGCGUGCGCAGGCGGAUUGUUAAGCAAGACGUGAAAUCCCCGGGCUUAACCUGGGAAUGGCGUUUUGAACUGGCAGUCUAGAGUGUGUCAGAGGGGGGUAGAAUUCCACGUGUAGCAGUGAAAUGCGUAGAGAUGUGGAGGAAUACCGAUGGCGAAGGCAGCCCCCUGGGAUAACACUGACGCUCAUGUACGAAAGCGUGGGUAGCAAACAGGAUUAGAUACCCUGGUAGUCCACGCCCUAAACGAUGUCAACUGGUUGUUGGGGGAGUGAAAUCCCUUAGUAACGAAGCUAACGCGUGAAGUUGACCGCCUGGGGAGUACGGUCGCAAGAUUAAAACUCAAAGGAAUUGACGGGGACCCGCACAAGCGGUGGAUGAUGUGGAUUAAUUCGAUGCAACGCGAAAAACCUUACCUACCCUUGACAUGUCCAGAAUCCUGCAGAGAUGCGGGAGUGCCCGAAAGGGAAUUGGAACACAGGUGCUGCAUGGCUGUCGUCAGCUCGUGUCGUGAGAUGUUGGGUUAAGUCCCGCAACGAGCGCAACCCUUAUCAUUAGUUGCUACGCAAGGGCACUCUAAUGAGACUGCCGGUGACAAACCGGAGGAAGGUGGGGAUGACGUCAAGUCCUCAUGGCCCUUAUGGGUAGGGCUUCACACGUCAUACAAUGGUCGGUACAGAGGGUUGCCAAGCCGCGAGGUGGAGCCAAUCCCAGAAAGCCGAUCGUAGUCCGGAUUGUUCUCUGCAACUCGAGAGCAUGAAGUCGGAAUCGCUAGUAAUCGCGGAUCAGCAUGUCGCGGUGAAUACGUUCCCGGGUCUUGUACACACCGCCCGU